rnacentral:rRNA from 1 species
GCCUGUAAGACUGGGAUAACUCCGGGAAACCGGAGCUAAUACCGGAUAGUUCCUUGAACCGCAUGGUUCAAGGAUGAAAGACGGUUUCGGCUGUCACUUACAGAUGGACCCGCGGCGCAUUAGCUAGUUGGUGGGGUAAUGGCUCACCAAGGCGACGAUGCGUAGCCGACCUGAGAGGGUGAUCGGCCACACUGGGACUGAGACACGGCCCAGACUCCUACGGGAGGCAGCAGUAGGGAAUCUUCCGCAAUGGACGAAAGUCUGACGGAGCAACGCCGCGUGAGUGAUGAAGGUUUUCGGAUCGUAAAGCUCUGUUGUUAGGGAAGAACAAGUGCGAGAGUAACUGCUCGCACCUUGACGGUACCUAACCAGAAAGCCACGGCUAACUACGUGCCAGCAGCCGCGGUAAUACGUAGGUGGCAAGCGUUGUCCGGAAUUAUUGGGCGUAAAGGGCUCGCAGGCGGUUUCUUAAGUCUGAUGUGAAAGCCCCCGGCUCAACCGGGGAGGGUCAUUGGAAACUGGGAAACUUGAGUGCAGAAGAGGAGAGUGGAAUUCCACGUGUAGCGGUGAAAUGCGUAGAGAUGUGGAGGAACACCAGUGGCGAAGGCGACUCUCUGGUCUGUAACUGACGCUGAGGAGCGAAAGCGUGGGGAGCGAACAGGAUUAGAUACCCUGGUAGUCCACGCCGUAAACGAUGAGUGCUAAGUGUUAGGGGGUUUCCGCCCCUUAGUGCUGCAGCUAACGCAUUAAGCACUCCGCCUGGGGAGUACGGUCGCAAGACUGAAACUCAAAGGAAUUGACGGGGGCCCGCACAAGCGGUGGAGCAUGUGGUUUAAUUCGAAGCAACGCGAAGAACCUUACCAGGUCUUGACAUCCUCUGACAACCCUAGAGAUAGGGCUUUCCCUUCGGGGACAGAGUGACAGGUGGUGCAUGGUUGUCGUCAGCUCGUGUCGUGAGAUGUUGGGUUAAGUCCCGCAACGAGCGCAACCCUUGAUCUUAGUUGCCAGCAUUCAGUUGGGCACUCUAAGGUGACUGCCGGUGACAAACCGGAGGAAGGUGGGGAUGACGUCAAAUCAUCAUGCCCCUUAUGACCUGGGCUACACACGUGCUACAAUGGACAGAACAAAGGGCUGCAAGACCGCAAGGUUUAGCCAAUCCCAUAAAUCUGUUCUCAGUUCGGAUCGCAGUCUGCAACUCGACUGCGUGAAGCUGGAAUCGCUAGUAAUCGCGGAUCAGCAUGCCGCGGUGAAUACGUUCCCG